rnacentral:misc_RNA from 1 species
CAGGAGCACCAGAUAUAAGCGCGCGUCACCUCCUCCUCUCUCCACCCUCCGACUCACUCUCUCUCCUCCUCACCCCCGUUCCUCCGGCCACCGCCUCCUCCACCAGGGGGCGCCAGAGACCUCCAUAAAGUCUCCCCCCGAUCCCCCCACUACACCUGCCCGCCCGCCAGUCUCCAGGGGAUCGGCCUGCCUCCUCCGCGCGAGGCAUAGAAGGAAUGUUAGACUGCAGUGCUACUUUUGCUUCCACUGUGAUCAGAUGGACAAACGUGUAGUUUCAUCUCUGCCUUCUAGUCUAGAACCUCCUCGAGGAACAACCGAACAACUCAACAACAUAUCCUCUUCUUGUCUCCAUUUUUUUUAAGCCGUUCUCUCUCUUUUCCUGGGAAGAGGGUGCUGCAGGGUCCUUUUGUAUAAAGUCUGUGUCAGGAGAAAAGCCGCUGAACAGAACAAAGCAACAUUGUAAACUAGCGUAAAAUGGCCAAAGUUGGGGGCCUAAUAUUAUUAGAUUUUUUAUGCCAGUGCCUGGACUUGUUAGGUCACCGGUUUCACUGCUAUUCUCUUGUGUCAUGCCGGCUGCCGCUGCCCCACUGCCAACAUUAUACUAGUGCAUGCUCUUAUUGGUCCACUCCUGAGUUGUACUAUUGAUUGUCAUGUCUUGUCUGG